rnacentral:tRNA from 1 species
AAAAACCUGUGGAACACUAAACCACAUCUUUUGAAUGCA